rnacentral:tRNA from 1 species
GCAUGCGUAGCUCAGCUGGCCAGAGCAUCUGACUCUUAAUCAGAGGGUCGCGGGUUCGAGCCCCGCCGCGUGUA